UUUCCUGUUGUUCCAGAGAAUACCGCACAACCAUCCAAGUCAUCUGGAAUCUUUUCAUUGACUCAGUGGACUUUAGAUCAGGCUCCAGGGGAGCGCACAAGCUAGACACCUGGAAUGUGCUCACUCUGAUGGAAAUGUUGCAGUCCUCCCAGUAAAAAUCUCCAGGAAAUCUCUGCCACUGAAAAUAAAGAUUAACAUAGAGAUGACUGAAACAAAUAAGAAUUCAGAAACGGAAAAAUUAUUUAGCAAGAACCAGAAUGAAGGAAAGACAAAGAGGGUGAAAAUGUGGUUCUAAGACCUGCUGGCUGAUGGUAAGUGGGGUCCCCCACAGUGAUGUUACCUAAGCAAAGCUUUUGAGACGAAUAAUGAAUCUGUCUGACCAGAAACAAACUGACUCUCAUCCGUCAACUAUGAUGGGAAACUCCAACAACAACAUGACUUAUUUACACAAGCCUUUUGUGGAGAGGAAAAAAGAAAAAUGCCACCCACAAAACUAGAUGUGUUGUUCAAGCCUGUCAUUAGUAAUGGUUGAUAUCAUUCUCCCCCACCCUGCCUCUUUUGUUUUUGUGAAUACACCAAGUAUAAUGUACUAGUUUUCUUUUUCUCCACUUUUCCCAUAUAAUUCAAUUUCAGAACUUGGCUCCUCAUUUUUGACUCUCUUUCCAAAGAAUUAUAAUUAAAAUACUGGUACUUUGCCUUAUCUUCUUGGUCACCAAAAUAUCCAAAACACACUGAAUAUGGUUGACCUGGUUGAAAAUUUCCUGUAGAAAAUGUAUUUCAGCAGAAAAUUUGGCUUUUGAUUACAUGAUUUUUUUUCUCCAAAAAGUAUUUCCCACUGAAUGUAGUUAUUUUGUCAAAAGGUUUUAGCCAAAAUCUUUUGAAUUCUGAGUUUUCUCUAAAAAUUAAAAGAUUUCUGUGGAGAAUUUCAGGAAAACCGGGAGGUUUUUUUCAUUGUUGUCAAAUUUUCAUGAGGGGAAAAAAUUGGACCAGCUUCUGUGUGCAUGAAUGCUUCUGUACACUCUAUUACACAAUGGGAUACACACAUACAUAUCUCAGUGUACUAUAUUAUAUGGUAUAUUAAUAUUCAGGGGUCAAUCCUGUUUCCAAUCCUUUCAAUGAGCAGGUUAGACUCGGAGCCUUUGAGACAAAAAUGCUAUACCAAUGGCAUUUUAAAAUUGAGAAUAUUAAUUCCCAAAGACAGGAAGUUAAAAUAUUCAUUUUCCCAGCACCUUUAACUCAGUCAUACCAUGACUAGAUUGUAUUUUAUAUUGAUGAGUAUAUUGUCAUGUACAGUUUAACCUUGGAGAUGUGAUAAAAUUGUUGUGCAAAAUA